GGCGGGAGGAGGAGGGAGCGGUGUAAAUGGUGGGCGAGUGAGCGAAGGGGAGAUGAUUCACACCGCCUCCGAGCCCCUCCGGCCCCUGCCUGCCCUAACGCUGCGGCGCGGCCGCCCGCUGCUCCCAGGCCCUCAUGCUCUUCUCGACUGACGGGCUGGGCAUGGGGCUGAAGCGGGGGGGCUCCGUGUCCGCCCAGCACCACCGCCAGACGCUCCAGCAGCUAGCGGGCUCGGCUGAGCAGGGUCCGGCCGCGAGCAGGGGCCCACCGACCUCGGCUACACCGCAGAAACCCCCGAGGCAGGAGAGGCUGAAAACCUGGCUGUCUGUGGAUGAAAUCCAACUUCCAUUCUGAGCUCCCAGGGAGACCCAGCCUUAGUGUUAGUAAUCACUUACCACUAAUGCUGCCCAAAACAAUUUUUAGAGCUUAAAAUACAGAUUUCAUACAUAAUACAUAGUACAGCACGUUGUCUUGCAAGUACUUGUAAAUUGUGAGCCAGAUAUCUAAUAUACUGUUGGGUAUUAAAGCAUGGAUAUUUUAGCAUCUGAACAGACUCCUGCCCAAAAGCAUUCACAAAUUAAAGACCCGAUCCAGCAUUGUAAAUUGAAAACUUUCAAUGGCUUCUCUGGGAAUUGUGUCCCAGGAAUGCAGUAUCUAGCCUCACAGUUGGAUAAAACAGAUGCAGCACAUUCAGUAACAAGUUGAUAGCAUGUACAGUCAGAAAAAAUAUUGUAUAAGAAUGGAACGUUCGUAAUCAUUUUAUACCCUUUGUAUCUAAGAUACUCUGACUCAUGGUUGCUUCAUUUACUGACUGAAAUAAAAUUUUUGGCUUCUGUUACCUUGGCGGUUGCUGACACAAUUAUGGUACAGCAAGCUGAGGAGUCUUUUGGAUCUUCCAUUUCCUUUACUAAGUUCCAGCUGAAGAAUUUUAAUUAGUAUUUGAGCCAGAAAGAAAAUAGUGUGGCUUAAAAAUCUCAGGUCCAGUUUGAAGGGUCAUCAGUUCUAAGCAGCCUCUUUUUAUUUGUAAACUGAGCAAAUGGCUUACAGAAAAUUUAGAAGACAAAAAUAAAAAGCGUUGAUGUUCAAGUGAAGCCAUUUUUAGUCAAUUUCCGCAGUGGAACUGUAAUUUAUAACACUGCUCCCUUUAUCCAUCUGAAUGUGCCCCAUUCAUUUGUAGUAACAUUGAAUCAAACAAUUCUCUUGUUUUAAGACCACAUCUGUUUUACUGUGCCCCCUGCACCAAUUUUAAUUAUGUGGCAGAUCUGAUUGGAUUCAGCACCUGCAAGUGUUCCCUUUGGGAAUUCCAAUUAGCUUAUAAAACAUCUACUCGAUUGCAUUCUUUAAAUAAAAGCAUUGUUUUAUCCUAACAACAGGAAUAUUAAUGUGUAGAAUAAAAAGGGGUUUUAAUGUGAUAAGCAGCGUAUGUUGUUUGUGUAUGUGUCUUCCAUAAGCUUAGAGGAAAAUGGUAAUCCUGAAACCUAAUUUCUCCAGGCUCAGCAGAUGUCUGUCCUGUGUUAGUCUGUUUCUUCACGAACAGCUGUCUCACAAGUGCCUCCCCUUGUCUCCACAGAAUGUCUUUUGUUUAAUAAUUUCUUGAUAUGUUCUCUCCUGGUCCCACUAAGACAAGCUUUUAAAAAAUCUUUUUUGGUACCUAGAAGUAUUCUCUUUAUAGUUGAAUCGGUUUUGAAGAAUUUAGCUAAAGCUAUAGAACUAGCCUCUCAGCUAGUUUCCUAGUAGCAUUUCUACUCAACUAAGCAAAUGGCUGCAUAUAAUUAACAUUUUCAGUUAUAAUUAACAUUUGCAACAACAAUUUAAUAUUAGCAAAAUUGUUCGUUAUUACAGAUAUGCUUCAGAAUAUGCUUCUGAAAGCACCGUCUGUGAAAGCCAGUAACCUGUCUGGAGCAGGGAUCUUGAGGUCUCGGGGCAUAUGGCAGAAAGCGCAGCCCUCUAGCGGCAGAGGUCACGGGUAGUUUUUGCAAGCUGUGAUUUUAUCACGGGUGAGGGAUAACGCAAUAGUUUGGUUUUUUGGGUUUUUUUUGGAGGGGGGUUGGCGGGGGAGAGGUGGAAGCGAACUACCCAAGAUACUGCCUAGUGUUGCUAUCAGCCUCCUGUAUUUUUCAGGGUCUGAAGUACCUGUGGAAAUAGUGGAGGCCUGUUGUACAGCUUUGUUCCCACUCUGCCAUGAUUUCUGUGGAGGAAGGACCAAUGGAAAAAUUUUGAAAUCUCUGCUAUCAGCAGAAUUUCCCUUUUUUUUUUUCUCUAAUCUGCUUCCCUGCUAUUCUUUUCCAGCCAGUUCCAGACUGGUAUAUCUACCCAGUUGUUCUUCAAGCUGUUCUGAGAUCUCAAUUCCUUUUCCUGUUUCUUUCAGUUAUCUCCUACCAGUUAAUAUAUUCUGUAACUUCAGAAAGAAUUAGUUCAGUGAUAGUAUGGAAUGCAAGGUCAGUUUGCCAGCCUUAUUUCUAAGAACACUCAUGUCAGAGGUGUGAAUGCUCUCUCACAGGCAUGAGAUCUGUCCUUAGAAAUGACAGGGAUUAGAAAGAGGCAUAAACCAAAGUAAUGAAAUAUAUAUGUUAACACAUAGAAGUCCACAGGGUAACUUUACAUCGAUUACCUCAGUAAACACCUCCUAACCUGAUAAGGUUCACUGAGCAUCAAAAUAUAUGAAUCAAAUGGGGGCCUGUUUCAUGUUUUAGUGGUUCAGUGAUUACCUUUGGAACCCAACUCAAUUCUGUUUCUUGUAGAGGUGAUGGAUACCUCCUCUAGCUAAUAGAAUGAAUGGCUUGUUUUUCCUCUGAUAGGAAAUAUGACAGAACCCAGUAAUCAUUAAAUGAAAAAUGAUAUCUCUUAAACAUCCAAAGUAGAUAAAAGAAAACAAAUUCUGUUUUUAUUCACAAUAAUACUGGUAUUGGGAGUUUUUCAUUAUCAAACAAUUGCUGUGGCAAUUGAUGUCUGGCAAACCUUUGCUCCACUAGAACUACAGUUACUUAAAAACUGAAAAUAUAACUUACUAUUUCAAGCCUUUAACAUCUGCCUUCUGUUUAUGUAGUCUUUUUUUCUGCAGUAGUCUAUCAGUUAAACUACAGUCAUUUUUAUUAAACCAUCCAAGUGUUCUUUGUUUGAAAACUUCAUGAACCAUUCGUCAGUAAAUAUUUUUAAAUCUUACUGGAAUUUCUAAAUUUCAUCAGUGUUAAUCUUAGGAAAAUCAUACCCAGAUUUAAAGAAGGAAGCCGAACAUCUCAUUUAGAAAGAAAGAAGACUGAUCAUCCAUUUUCCAGUAUUUACAUCCCCUGUACUGUUCACACCUGUAUUGGAUACACAGUACAGGCAACAGCUAAAUCCUUUCAUAUUGUAGAUUGUUAUUGUUUGGUAGCUUUCUUUGCUUUCUUUCUUUGUGGAUGGUGACUUCACAGUGGUAAUAAUUUGACCAUACAAUUUAUCAUAAUAUGAGUAUAUUAACCAAAAUUCUCUGCGUAGAAGUGGAAGGAGAGAGUGAGUAUAGAUAAUCAAUGGCUACUUCUGCUGUCUUAGCAGAGGGAUCUCCUGCUUCUUCCUACUCCACAGUGUUCAUCAAAAUUCUUCAUUCCUACAGAUGUAGAUCAGUUUUAUAGGCUAUUCCUGUGUUUUUUCUAUUUUGAGGUUACCUAAUAACAUACCCUGAUGUCAGUAUGAAAAAUAAGGUAACCAUGGAACAAGAUCAUCUUUUGUCUCCUCCAAGGAAUUGACUAGGAACAUGGUACAAUCCAUAAAACUCCAGUGGCCAGAUAAUUUUCCCAAAAAGUCAUCUCCACAGUGAUUUUGCUGUACAGUAAGUGCUUUUAUUUCUUAGAAUGAAAGAAACUGAAGACUUGAUAUCAACAGUUUUUCAAGAGUUGUAUUCUUUUUUCCUGUUUACUCAUUUAUUUUUCAAAUACUGAAAUAAAUGAAUCAGAGAUUAAAACAGAUACAAGGCGGGAGUAAUUCAGUGGUAAUGAAAUAACGUUGUAACCUAGUAGGUGAGAAAUAGCAGCAGUUUAUGUCAGUUUACAGUGGUGCUGACUGCAUACAUGUUUGCACCGUAUUACAAAAGAAUGUCAGUGAAGCAGCACAGCCAGCUAUCACUCCAAAUUCUUAAAGAUGUACUCAUCUAAGUGCUGUACAGUGAAUAGGGUACUGUUAAGGGAAUCAGUAUACCUGUUUUUAAUCUCUGCUGUUAGAACUGAUAUUGCAGUAUCACUAUUUUAUGCCUCAUUUUGCCCACCUUCCACUGUCUUACUUAUUUGAAAUUUUGACAUUUUAGGGUAAAGGAAAGAUGAAAAAGAAACAUGAACAGAGAAGUCACUUUCUUGGAUCUUGUUGUGAAGCCUGGUCCUCUGCAAUACUAUACCAUUUCCUGUGAACUGAAAGAAGUUAAAUAAUGUGGUAACCUUCACGUAGUUGUAAGGGCAUCUCUACUGAUGCUCUGUCAUGUUCUCAAAGAUACUGAUACAGUCUUGGUUGUUCACAUGAAUUAAAACAAGUGAUAACAGGUCAUAACUUCAAAUAUAGUCUAAUGACACAGGAUCCUAGGAUUUUUUGAAGCCUUGAAUUUUGCUAUAGUUCUGUUGACAGUGAGAGUUAUUUUAGCAAAUGAAAAGAAUGGAAAGGGAAUAAUAUUUCAGACCAUUAAAGGUAUGUACUAGUAAAAUUACACUAGCAAACUCUGUUAACGACCAACAAAAAUACAUUUUUAUCAGUAUAAUUUGUAAUCAACUUUCCAAAUCAUAAGCUAUUCUGGCAGAAGUAACCUUUUUUGUGAGUAGAAUAUUAGCAUAGCAAAAGGAUUUUUGCCAAUGAAAAGCUAAUUAAAGUCACAUCUGUAAUAUCAUUGCAAUAGCAAAAGCUCCUAAUAAAGAUUUGGACAUCUUUAAUAAUAUUUUUAAAGACUUAGUGUAUAAAAAUGCAUAUGUCAAUUGACUAAAAAUUAGUUUUCAGCACAGAAAGAUUUUAGGCAGUUGUUACUACCUUCAAGAAUACAAGGUUAUGCUGGGAACUUCAGCUGAGUCUUCCCUGUGGUUUAGCAAAUGCCUUAAAGUUUGCUCUUAAGAAAUUAUUUUGCUUCACCAAUAUAAGUUGAUUAUUCCAGUGCUUUAUAGCUCUGUCUGUGCGAAAAUAAUUAUUUCAAAAUAACUGUGGAUUGGAAAUUCUAGUAGAGGAGAGUAAAUACAUAAAACUUAGUAUAAAUUGGCCUGAGUGAUUUGGCACAUAAUCUCACUGUUUGCCAUAAAAACAUACAUCUGUGUGUCAGCGGCACACAAAGGCUAUCUGGUCUGAGUGAAAUGUAGGGAUUAGACAUAAUGCUGCCUAUUUGAGACAAAGUGUAUUCCUUAGUGCAGUGAGGUUAGAACAGAUAUUCAAUAAGCAGUACAAAUCUGUCUAAAUUAUUGAGUUACCAUUUUGAGAAAAAAGGAGGUAGUGGCGAAUUAUUAAUUACUUUGAGGUUUAUUCAUCUUACCAUUCUGUUGCAAAAUAUAAAUGAGUUUGAUUUAUAAUUCACAAAGACCAAUAUAGUGAAAUUUGUAUAUAUGUUUGUAAUUGGAUGCAUGACUUUAAAUCCAAAAAACAUAGAACAACUGAUAUGCUGUAAAAAAAGUGUAUGUCUAUCUACCUUGUUGAAUUAAUGCUACAUUUCUAUCUAUUUCAAAGGAUGACAGCAGCAUUGCUUCAGUAUUGCAGAUUUAAGCCUCCAAAUCUCAUCCAAGCUUACUAUAAAACAGUAGAAAUCUAUCACAGCCCUGAUUUUUUUUUUUGUAUAUGUGAGCUCCUAAGCAUUUUUCAGAUAAACUGUAUAUUAUUUUAAAUGUUCCACAUACAUAUAUUAUUUGUAGAAAAGUUUUUCUUUUUUCUGCUUUUUUUUUUUUUUCUUUUCUUGAAAACCCUCCAGGCUGACAAUAGAAAUCCAUGGACCUACUGGGUGCAGACAGUUCUGUUGACUUGAAGGGGCUUUAAGUCACUCAAUAUGAAAUAUGUAGGGGGAAAGAUAAGUAGAGAAAGGAAGGAAAAUAUAUAAAAGAUAUUAAGAUAUUAACUGUAAGGCCUUCGUACCAUAAGAGAAAGUAUCUUUAUAUUCUAGUGAUGGGCAAUUUGAAUUAGUUUUGCAUAUAUAUAUUUUCAUAUAGAGGGAGAGAUAUGGAGUGUCUAGGAAUGUAUAAUUUAUCAUUUCUAAUAAAUUAUAUAUAAACAAAAGAACAGCCAAUAUAUAAUUAAAAUUUGGCAGGUACAGAAGUGAAAACUAAAGACAUGCAUUCCAACAAUUCAAAAUCCAAGUUAAGGUGAAAAUCUUUAGAUAGCUGUUUUGCAUACUGAUAACAAAAAAGAUACGAGCAUGAUAUUAUAGAAAGUUGUAUAUGAUAUAUGUAUAUGUACAUAUAUUACCAAAAAAAAAAAAAAAAGUGUGAUUGUUUUUCCUCUCAAUUUUCUAUGGAGUAUUUUGUUUCUUGUAUUUCAGCCAAAUAGGAAGAUUUCCUGUUUCAAAACUUCUAAAUAUUUGUUUUCUUCUUUUUAUUCUUAUUUUAAUUUAGGGAUUUAAGUAGUUUCAACUGGAACAAAGAAAUUCAUAUGUUGAAACAGUAAAAAGAAAAUUACUGCAGAAGUGAUUCAUUGUAAGUGAGAUGAAUGUCCUUACAAAGCACAAAUGAGAAAACACAGAAAAAGGAUCAUUGUGCAUAUUAGCAACACUGCUUAUAGAUUCAUCAUGGCUCACAACAAAGGUAUUUAUAAGUGGACCUCCUGCCUCUGUCACAUGCUGUCAUUGCUUUGGAUUGACUGCUGUUAGAUUUCUGUAAUCCUGAGCCCUGGGAUCUUGUCCUACAUGUUUACCCCACUUGAUAUGCCUGUUAGUAAGUAUUUAAAAUGGAAAUGAACUCUAAGCUUUGUAUCAGUUUAUAACAAAGGAUUUUAAUCCCUUAAAACUCAUAUUUAUAAUUUUUUUAAUAUAGUUUAUAAAAUAAGUGUUCAAUCUGAUAGCUUACAUUUGCCAGUUUUCCCAGUUAAGGUUGGUUACUGCCUAGAAUUUUUUACCUUGUUAGGAUGUCAUGGCAAUGAAAUCAAGGAAGAUGUUCAUGGAUGAAGUAGAAUAACAGCAGCCACAAGGCGCAUUUGUAAUAGAAAGCGUUGACAGCUUUCAUAACUGUAACUUACUUGUAAUAUAGAAAACAAUAAUAUUUUGUGCUGUAGAGGGUUGAUGACAGAUACAGAUAGACUACAACUACUACUUGUGUGUGUAUGUUGAGAUGUUAAAAAGUCCAUUAAAACUAUCACAUCCCAUCCCACCUCAAAGGUCUUUGUUCAAAUCAUAGAAUCAUGUAAUGGUUUGUGUUGGAGGGUACCUUAAAGAUCGUAUAGAUCCAAGUCUCCUGCCAUAGGCAGGGACACCUUCUGAUAGAUCAGGCUAACCAAAGCCCCAUCCAACAUGGUUAUGAACACUUCCAAGGAUGAGGUAUCCACAACAUCUCUGGGCAACCUGUUCCAAGGCCUCACCAUCCUUGUAAUAAAUAAUUUAUUCCCAUGAUGUAAUCUAAAUCUACCCUCUUUUAUUUUAAAGCCAUUAUCUCUUGGCUUUUCACUCCCAGAUAAAGGGUAUCUCCCUGUCAUUCCUGUUGGCCUCCUUUAAGGACUGGAAGGCCAUCAAAUGGACUCCAAUAGUCUUCUCUAAGCUAAACAACCCCUACUCUCUUAGCCUGUUUUCAUAGAAAUGCUCCAGCCUUCUGAUCAUCUUCUGAGUCUUCUGGACUCAUUUUAACAAUUUGUUUUUUGUACCAGCUCCAAAGCUGAAUGCCAUAGUUCAGGCACAAACUCACAAAAGGGCAGCAGAGAGGAAGAAUCAUCUCCAUUGACCUGGUGGUCACUAUUCAUUUGAUGUAGCCCAGGAAGCAAGUGGCUUUCUUUACUGCAAGCAUACACUGCCUGCUCAUUUUGGCUUUUUCAUCCAACACUGGUAAGUCCUUCUCCACAGGGCUGUUCUCAAUCCAUUCAUCACCCAGCCUUUAUACGUGCUUGGGAUUGCCCUGACUCAGGUGCAGCACCUUGCCCUUGGCCUUCUUGAACUUUAUGAGGUUAGCACAGGCUCAGUUCUCAAGCCUCUAAAGGUCCUCCUAGAUGGCCUCACGUACCUCCAGUGUGUCAGCCACACCAGAUCACUCUCUGCAAACUUACUGAGGGUGCACUCCAUCCUAUUGUCCACGUCACUGACAGAGAUGUUAAGUAAUACUGAUCCUAAUACCAACCCUUGAAGGACCAAACAGAUCUACUGCUGGUCUCCACAAAGAUAUCUUGCUGUUGACUGUAACUCUUUGAGUAGGACCCUACCCACCAAGUGGACUACCUGUUAAAUCCACGUUUCUACAGUUUGGAGACAAGGAUGUUAUGUGGGACAGUGUCAAACGCUUCACACAAGUCAAAUCUUGGUAGAUUACAUCAAUUCUACUUCCCUUAUCCACUAGCACUGUAACUUUGUUUCAUAAGACCACCAAAUUUGUCAGACAUUAUUUGCCUUUAGUGAAGCCAUGGUGGCAUACUAGCCAUUCUCCAGGUGUCUUAGCAUAGUUUCCAGGAUCUGCCCAUAUUUCCUGCCUAAUUAACUGCUCAGUCUAAAAAAUAUUUUUUUUCCCCAAUGAAUUUACUGUGAUUUUUGACUACUUACUAUUUUAUGAAGGUGUGACAACUGGUAGUACUAAACUAUUGUGUGUGUUAAGGAAAGCAUGCAACAUGGUGAUGCUUGAAAAUGAGUAUGUUAAAGCUUCAUCAAAUGUUAGUAUCUACCUGUAGUAGUAAAAGUGUAAGCAGUAAACACAGGAAAAAAGAAAUUAUUUUGUAUCAGAAUUGGGAAGAUUUGGUUCAGUUAUUCAAAUCCUCAUUCAUGUUAUACAUAUAUGUAGUUAUAUUUAACACUUUUUUCCCCAAAACAAUCAAAACACCAACGUUUUCUUCUGCUUUUCCACAACCUUUUAUACAGAAGAUUUCUUCUACUAAAUUAUAAUGUUGAUGGCUUUAGGAAAUAGUUAUACCUCAAAUGCUUGUAUAUGUCUUGUAUGAAUGGAAAGAUUAUUGUAAUUAUCUUUGGGACUGCAUGGUUGUUUUAUUCAUUAUUACAUCAUUAUACUGUGGAGGAACUGGGUUGUAAUAUAUAUGUCCAAAGAUUAUGCAUCACUUAAAAAUAGUUAAAAGGAAUUUAUCUCUUCAUUACAAUUGUAACAGUAAUGAAAAAUAAAGCUGUCAGCUUUCCAGGAACAUUUUGUUUAUUUAGAACCUCUAAGAUUUCGUAGGCAAGUAUGUCACAUAAUCAAACAGAAAAGCUUGGAAUUAUAGAUUCUGCAACACUGUGUUAUAUUGUGUGGAAGUCAUUUAUGAAAAAGAAUAACUAUUCUCAUAGUAUUCAAUGUCAUCUUAAUAAAACACAUGAUGACAGCAGGCAUUAGUUGAAUUGAAGUUUGAAUAUAUUUUAUUAUGAUUGUUUUUGGCAUUCAGUUUAAUGAAACAAUAUUCUUUGGGAAUCCUGACAUUUGAAAACAAAGCUGAAGAUUGUAAUUAUUUUAUGAAAUUAAACAGUUCUCCUUUGUAUAGUGAAUUACAGUAAGUUUUCUUUAUAAGAUCUUAAAUGAUUGGAAUUUCAUUUUAAUUUGCAAAGCCUUUAUAAUAAAAAUGAUUAUGUAUUAUAAGACAAGUAUAUACAUCUAUGUACAUGCAUGCAUUUUUAUAUAUAUAAAUAAAGCAGAUUCUCAUUAA